UUGCUCCAUUUUUUUUUCAUGUCCAACAAGAAGAGUCCCCCGGGUUACAGUAAAACUUUGAAGGAGGAGGAGGAAAAAGCUUACAGCGGAAGCUAAAUUUGGGUUACUGGAGGGAGAAGAGAAAGAGAAUUCUCUGAAAUUAUAGUUUAAUUUGUUCUUCAACUGUUUCAGAUCUCCCUCGCCCAAUUUGAAUUUUGUGAAACUAACGUUCUUUCAGGUUCUAUAUAUGUUCACAUUUUUGACCGUAUACAGCAGAAGAAAGGUAUAGUGGAGAUUAUUCUUACGGAUUGAUUGAUUGUGUGUAUAUACAUAUAUUGAAGAAGUAAGGAAAUUGGUUAUUGGGAGAACGCAACUAGUUUAGUUUUAGCAAUGGUUUCAAGCUUGUUUAUUGGAACAAGUUUUACAUUGAAGAAGAAAAGUCUCAUGCGUGCUGCUGUUGGCACUCGAGCAGGAGUUGGAGGCUAUACCUAUUUGUUGAACCCCUUUGGUGGGCAGGCAUGAUUACAAGUAAGUGGAUCAUGAGUUGUGAUUGUUAUUUCCUGUGCUAAACCCAACAGUUUCCACGAGUAAACUUCAUUCAGGAUAAAUAUGCAUUAGUAUCGUUGGGGUCUUAAUGACAUUUGGAUUUGGAUAUGCAAUGAUUGCUGGGGAGGUUUCCAAUUUUGUGGCCUAUAUUUAUGCUCCAGCAAUUCUUGUGACCCAACUUGGUGCGUUGAGUAUAAUUGUCAGGUGAGAUUUUGAAGUCUUAUGUGCUGUUUUGAAACUCUGGCAAGGAACUCCUGCUGAUGUUUCCAUAACUAACCUUGGUAAAUCUGAAUAGUGCUGUCUUGACACAUUUUAUUUUGAGGGAAAGACUACAACAAUUAGGUGUAGUGGGAUGCAUAUUAUGCAUAGUAGGAUCUGUGGUAAUGUUUAUACAUGCACCUCAAGAGCAUAUGCCAAGUUCUGUACGAUAAAUCUGGAUUUUAGCAAUUCAAUUAGGUCUGGACUUUAAGUGUUUUUUCCUGUUUAUCUUGCUAUAGGUUAUGAUUCUCUCUCCGUUGAGCUCAUUAUGAAUUUUUCCUCCUAAUUUUGUCUGCAACAUUUGUAAUUUAUGUGGCAGCAACAGCAACAAUAUUCAUAGUAGCAGCUUUGAUGUUUCAUUAUGUACCUCGUUAUGGACAAACAUGCUCAUAUAUUUGGGAAUAUGUUCCUUAAUGGGUGCACUUACAAUAAUUAUGGUUUCUUCUAGACUUCUUCUAGUCAUCGUCUAUAUUCCUACGUAGAAUUUGUACAUUACGUUCUUCUUGGACAUAAUAAAUCUUUGCAGAUGUGAACACUUUCCUAGCCCAUCAAGAUGUUUCUGUGGCUUUCUAUUAAUUUAUUGAAUUUGCAGGUUGUCAGCAUAAAGGCUAUUGGAAUUGCAAUAAAACUUACUUUGGAAGGAAUUAGAUAGAUUGCCUAUCCGCAGACUUAGUUUUUUUCUAGCUGUUGCAGUAAUCUUUGUCUUCACGCAGUUAAAUUAUCUAAACAGGGUAAUGCCAUAAAACUUUCCAGCUUGACUGAGAUCUGCUGUAAUCCAUCUCAUAAGUCAUUUGCAUUGCCUUUCCUAGCGUGAAUUUCCAAUUCUCUAAAAUGAAUGCUUAUAAUCAGGACUAGUUCAGACCAUACAUAAUGUGUAUAUAUGAUGUCAAUACUUGAUACCAACUAUGCAACAAUAUUUGCCAAGUCUUUUCAUUCUAUCUGUGUUUCAACUUUUGUGAUUUGGCAAUAAACUUGUUGCUCUUUGUUGUGUGUGCUUGAUAUGUGAGCAUUUUUAAUAUCUGAAACAAGUGCUCUGGUUGAGAAUCUUGCAAAGAACUUCAUUUAAAAUUUUCCUUAUUACAUGAACCUUGAGAUGCACUUUGACCAUUGCAAAGUGCAGUAAAUGGGCAGUGCAUGCUCCUUGACCAUUACAAAGUGUACUAAAUGUGCAGUGCAUGCUAACAUUUAUGCAUCAUUUUGAUAGGCACUGGAUACAUUCAAUGCUGCAAUUGUUUCUCCAAUAUAUUCUGUAAUGUUCACCACUUUGACCAUCAUCGCAAGCACAAUAAUGUUCAAGGACUGGACUGGGCAAGAUGUAGUAGUAUCGUAUCUGAUAUCUGUGGAUUUAUCACAGUUCUUUCGGGAAUAAUUUUACUCCAUCUGACUAGAGAACAAGAACCAACAAAUCCACCACGUAAAAAUUAAAGUUGAAGCAUGUACCUGCUACCCAGCUAUAUAAAUCGUCUGGCUCUCAUCUUGAUAUGUGUAUAUCCUUGAUAUCAUGCAGUCUAAAAUCUUAUAAAAUGUAUGGCAUUGGAUCUGUAAGUCUGCAAUACCUAAAAACAUAUGUUGAUUUGGGUGCAAUUAUCCUAUUUUGGGUCAAUUUGACUACUUAGUUUCAGUGAACCUUCUAAAUUUGGUUACUUUGUGUUUACCUGAUCUCAAUGAAGACGGUAAGGAACACAAAUAAAAUAAUCAAACUUGUAAUCUAUCUGAUUUUACUUGACCUUUCACAACAAUUAUUCCAUUUCGAUAUGGGGCUAGACCACCAAAGGAGCACACAACUUUACAGUGCAACAUAUGGUGAAACAGUGAGGUUAUCUGCUCCAAAUUUUUCUUAAUUACUGCACAUGCUCUUCUAAUUUUGGGUACUUGGUUCUAUGAUUAAACAUUUUAAAAGAGCAUGUGUUUCCAUCAUGUAACACAUUAGCAUCCUUUUAUUGACAUUGGGACAGAUGACUCCCUUGAGCUAGUGAUUGACAGAAAUUAUUAAGUACUUUCUGGCAUUAAUUUUGAUGUUGUAGAACUUUCCGUAUAAGUUCAGGUCUGGAGUAUACUAAAUGUUCUUAGAGAUACUUCUGCAGAAGCUAGACUUGGAACUCCAAAUUGAAGCCUCAAUAUAUUUAUAUGCCUCAAAAGUAUUGUAAGUUUGUGCUUAUAAUACAGAAGUUUAUGCAGGAAAUGUAUCGUGGUAUGAUGGAAAAGAUAUAAAAGCUAUGGAGGAUGGACACUACAUAAUGUUGAAUGAUUCAAACUAUUUCUGCUGAUAUCAUCUCGAUAUACAUUCUAGAUUUUGACUGCAAAAGUUGAAAUUGUAUCCACAACUGAUGCUUAAUUUGUGAGAGUUCUUGCUGAAGCUCCGCAAUGUUGAGCUUUACAACUAGGAGGGAAGUUCUGGUACAAGCACAAUUUUGGGGAAGGCUAUUGAUUCAGUCACCUUGUAACUGAAGCUUGGCGUGGAUCUUUGCUGAGCUGCUGUUCAAAUUUGAGAGCUGUUGUUCAAAUUUGAGGUUUGUACAUACUCGAUGAUGUCUCUUCAUUCAGUUGGUUGUGCAGAGAAUUUAGUUGAUUCAUGCUGUAAUUUAUUGUGCCACCAAAUUGGUGCAACAUAUUAUGAGUUCUAUAGUGUGAGAAUAUAACAUAGUGAAGAAGGUUACAGCAGUAAGUUGGAUCAUUUAUUUUCUGAGGAUUUCAUGAUAUGGAAAUCUAACCUGUUUAUUUACGGGUAAUGACAUGAUGAACUCAUUUUCACAUCUAAGAGUAAUUGGAAGAAUUAUUCCCUUUGUAGACAAAUUUAGCUAAUUUUUUUUAGUAUAAUACAUAAAUAUUACCUUACCUUGACCUUAUUUUAUAUUUAUGCCCUUCAAUUUUGGAUAUGCA
rnacentral:lncRNA from 1 species